CCUACGGGAGGCAGCAGUGAGGAAUAUUGGUCAAUGGGCGAGAGCCUGAACCAGCCAAGUCGCGUGAGGGAGUACUGCCCUAUGGGUUGUAAACCUCUUUUGUCGGGGAGCAAAAGCCGGACGUGUCCGGCUGUGAGAGUACCCGAAGAAAAAGCAUCGGCUAACUCCGUGCCAGCAGCCGCGGUAAUACGGAGGAUGCGAGGGGUAUCCGGAUUUAUUGGGGUUAAAGGGUGCGCAGGCGGAUUUGUAAGUCAGCGGUCAAAUCGUGGGGCUCAACCCCAUCCAGCCGUUGAAACUGGGGAUCUAGAGUGUGCGAGAGGUAUGCGGAAUGCGUGGUGUAGCGGUGAAAUGCAUAGAUAUCACGCAGAACCCCGAUUGCGAAGGCAGCAUACCGGUGCACAACUGACGCUCAGGCACGAAAGCGUGGGUAUCGAACAGGAUUAGAUACCCCAGUAGUC
rnacentral:rRNA from 1 species